GCCGAAGUGGCGGAAUUGGUAGACGCGCAUGAUUCAGGUUCAUGUAUCCGAAAGGAUGUGGAAGUUCGAGUCUUCUCUUCGGCACCA
rnacentral:tRNA from 1 species